AACGAACGCUGGCGGCAUGCCUAACACAUGCAAGUCGAACGAAGGCUUCGGCCUUAGUGGCGCACGGGUGAGUAACGCGUGGGAAACUGCCUAUUGGUGGGGAAUAACGACGGGAAGCUGUCGCUAAUACCGCAUAAGCCCUUCGGGGGAAAGAUUUAUCGCCGAUAGAUGUGCCCGCGUCCGAUUAGCUAGUUGGUGAGGUAAUGGCUCACCAAGGCGACGAUCGGUAGCUGGUCUGAGAGGAUGAUCAGCCACACUGGGACUGAGACACGGCCCAGACUCCUACGGGAGGCAGCAGUGGGGAAUAUUGGACAAUGGGCGAAAGCCUGAUCCAGUAAUGCCGCGUGAGUGAUGAAGGCCUUAGGGUUGUAAAGCUCUUUCGGGUGGGACGAUGAUGACGGUACCACCAGAAGAAGCCCCGGCUAACUUCGUACCAGCCGCCGCCGUAA
rnacentral:rRNA from 1 species